GGGGAGGAGAGAUAUAACUGGGUAUCAUCAGUGUGCAGGUGGUAGUGGAAUCUAAAUGAGGCAAUAAGCUUGCCAAGAGAGGCAGUAUAAGGAGAAAAUAGAAGGGGACCAAGGACAGAGCCUUGGGGGACUCCAACCAAGACAGGACGAGGGGAAGGAGGUAUCAUUAGAAAAGGAGACACUGAAUGAGCGUUGGGAGAGAUGAGCGGAAAAUCACGAGAGGACAGAGUCACAGAGACUGAGUGAUUAAAGUGAUAAGCGGAAAUUACACAUAUAGUAAGCUGAAGGCUGUGCUGGUAAAUAAGCAAAAGUAAAUUCUCUUUCAAUGUUUGAUGUCAUUACAAAAUUGGGUGUCAGAAGUAUGGAUGUGCCCGUACAAUGUUCAGGCUGAAUAAUUAACAAAUGUAUAGCAAACAACAUUUUAAAUUCUCUAAACAUGUUGCUGUCACAUAACUCAUUCAUGUUAUAUGAAUGAAG